rnacentral:rRNA from 1 species
UUUACCUACGGGAGGCAGCAGUGAGGAAUAUUGGUCAAUGGGCGCGAGCCUGAACCAGCCAAGUCGCGUGAGGGAAGACGGUCCUAUGGAUUGUAAACCUCUUUUGCCGGGGAGCAAGCUGGGUCACGUGUGACCCAGCUGAGAGUACCCGGAGAAAAAGCAUCGGCUAACUCCGUGCCAGCAGCCGCGGUAAUACGGAGGAUGCGAGCGUUAUCCGGAUUUAUUGGGUUUAAAGGGUGCGUAGGCGGACUGUCAAGUCAGCGGUAAAAUUGAGAGGCUCAACCUCUUCCCGCCGUUGAAACUGG